rnacentral:misc_RNA from 1 species
AAAGUGCGAAAAGUGUCAUGACUUGCAGAUUCCCGAGAGCUGACAAAUCUCUGAAUGCAAAUGGCAGUCGCGUUAGACCCGACUAUGUAUUGUAGAGUGUAGAUGCUCCAGCUAUUCAUCAUAUCCCUCUCUUCUCUUCAAAGGGGUUGAGACGGUGUGGACCUGCGCUUGCGAGAGAGGCAACUGUUUCGCGAGUGUUAAAAGAAAAGGUCUACGACUAAUCUCUCGAAAGAGGGUUUGUCGUGCACCGAUGAGAAAAUGUGUUUCACACACACCGACGCAUCGGAUGCUCCGUUAAGGACCAGUAUUUUAUAUUCUUUCAAUGAGCCACCUCUACAAUGCAUGAAAACCCGCUGAACUUAA